UAAAAUAAAAAUAAAAUAACUUCUGUAUUUUGUAGUUGAAAAAAUUUUUUUUUAUUUAGGUAUUAGUAGUAUAGAUAAAUUUUUGUUUAGGUGUACUGUAAAGGAUUAGUUUAUUUGGUUGUUAGUAAAAAUAAAAAUUUGUACCUUUUGUAUAAUGGGUUAAUGAUAUUUAAAAUUUUUUAUAGAAUUAUCUCGAAUUAGGAGGAUUUAUUUGGUAAUAUAUGUUAACGUGGUAAAGUUAUAUGUUUAUUAUUGAAUGGUAAUGAAAUGUUUAUCGUUUCCUAGAAUAGCUAGUUUAUUAGGUGAAAGAUAUUUAAGUAUCAUAGUGUUUAUAUAAUAAAGUUAUAUUGAAUACUAGUUUAUUAUAUGGGGGAUAAGCUUCAUAUAGGUUUAUAGAAUGUUAUGUAUAAGUAAAUAUAAUUUAAGUAGGGUUAAAAUUUAGUUUUUCUUAAUGAUUUAAUUUAUUAUCUGUUUAAAAUAUUUCAAGUGGUAUGUAAUUAAUAAAUGAUUGUUAAUAUUUUUAGUUAAAUAUAAUGUUAAUAUGAGUAUUGGUUUAUGGUUUAUCUAUUUAUUGUAAUUAUAAAUGUAAAUUGUUAUUUAGUUUCAUAAAAAAUUAAGUAAAGUGAAGGAACUCGGCAAAUAUUAAUCUCGCCUGUUUAUCAAAAACAUCUCUCUUUGUUGAUUCAUAAAUAAAGAGUUGGGCCUGCUCGGUGAAAUGUUUAACAGCUGCGGUAUUUUAACUGUACUAAGGUAGCAUAAUAAUUUGCCUUAUAAUUUGAGGCUAGAAUGAAUGGUUUGACGAAGGUUAAUCUGUCUCCACUUUAUUUUUUAGAAAUUAAUUUUCAUAGUGAAAAAGCUUGAAUUUUUUAAGGGGACGAGAAGACCCUAUUGAGCUUAUAAUUUUAUUAAUAUUUUAUAAAUAUUUAUGUUGUGUUAUAUAAAUUUUAAUUGGGGUGAUUAAGGAAUAAUUUUAUUGAUUUUAUAGUGUAACUUCCUUAGAAAACAUAUUGUUAAAUUAAGUAACCGAUUUAUAUAUAGGUUUAUAUUGGGUAUUGCUUAUAAUAUAGUUACCAUAGGGAUAACAGCGUAAUUUACUUAGAGAGUUCUUAUUGAAAAGUAAGAUUGCGACCUCGAUGUUGGAUUAAAGUAACCUUAAGGUGCAGAAGCUUUAUAAGGUAAAUCUGUUCGAUUUUUAAAACUUUACAUGAUCUGAGUUCAGACCGGCGUGAGCCAGGUUGGUUUCUAUCUUUUAAAAAUUGUUAUUGCUUCUUUUAGUACGAAAGGAUCGAAGAAAGCUAAAAGUUUAAUUAAAAUAUAGAUAUAAUUUAUAUGUGGUUUUGUUAA
rnacentral:rRNA from 1 species